rnacentral:rRNA from 1 species
GCAGCAGGCACGCAAAUUACCCACUCCCGGCACGGGGAGGUAGUGACAAAAAAUAACGAUACGGGACUCUAUUGAGGCCCCGUAAUCGGAAUGAGUACACUUUAAAUCCUUUAACAAGGAUCCAUUGGAGGGCAAGUCUGGUGCCAGCAGCCGCGGUAAUUCCAGCUCCAAUAGCGUAUAUUAAAGUUGUUGCGGUUAAAAAGCUCGUAGUUGGUUCUGCGUGCCGCGCUGUCGGUUCGCCGCCUGUCGGUGUAACUGGCAUGUCGCGGCAUGUCCUGUCGGUGGUGAGCGGGGUCCAUGAUACUGCUUUGGCUUCUUUAGUCAAUGCUAGUGUUGUGUGUACUUCCGUUCGCCGAUCUCUCCUACUUCGGUGCUCUUAAACGAGUGUCGAGGUAGGCCGACACGUUCACUUUGAACAAAUUAGAGUGCUUAAAGCAGGCUGAAAUAUCUGCUUGAAUAGUGGUGCAUGGAAUGAUAAAACAGGACCUCAGUUCUAUUUUGUUGGUUUUAGGAAUAUGAGGUAAUGAUCAAUAUGGACUGGCGGGGGCAUUCGUAUUGCGACGUUAGAGGUGAAAUUCUUGGAUCGUCGCAAGACGCACUAGAGCGAAAGCAUUUGCCAAGUAUGUCUUAAUUGAUCAAGAACGAAAGUUAGAGGUUCGAAGGCGAUCAGAUACCGCCCUAGUUCUAACCAUAAACGAUGCCAGCCAGCGAUCCGCCGAUGUUCCUUUAAUGACUCGGCGGGGAGCUUCCACCCGGAAAACCAAAGCUUUUGGGUUCCGGGGGAAGUAUGGUUGCAAAGCUGAAACUUAAAGGAAUUGACGGAAGGGCACCACCAGGAGUGGAGCCUGCGGCUUAAUUUGACUCAACACGGGAAACCUCACCAGGCCAGGACAUUGGAAGGAUUGACAGAUUGAUAGCUCUUUCUUGAUUCAGUGGGUAGUGGUGCAUGGCCGUCU